UACGUAGGGCGCAAGCGUUGUCCGGAAUUAUUGGGCGUAAAGAGCUCGUAGGCGGUCUGUCGCGUCUGCCGUGAAAACCCGAGGCUUAACCUCGGGCUGGCGGUCGAUACGGGCAGGCUAGAGUUCGGUAGGGGAGACUGGAAUUCCUGGUGUAGCGGUGAAAUGCGCAGAUAUCAGGAGGAACACCGGUGGCGAAGGCGGCGACCUGGGUAGAUACUGACGCUGAGGUGCGAAAGCGUGGGGAGCAAACAGG
rnacentral:rRNA from 1 species